rnacentral:rRNA from 1 species
GCAGGCCUAACACAUGCAAGUCGAACGGUAACAGGAUGUGCUUGCACAUCGCUGACGAGUGGCGGACGGGUGAGUAAUGCUUGGGAACUUGCCUUUGCGAGGGGGAUAACAGUUGGAAACGACUGCUAAUACCGCAUAAUGUCUUUGAGAAUUCGGUCUGAAAGACCAAACGGGGCUUAGAGCUCCGGCGCAGAGAGAGGCCCAAGUGAGAUUAGCUAGUUGGUAAGGGUAAAGGCUUACCAAGGCGACGAUCUCUAGACUGUUCUGAGAGGGAAGAUCAGACCACACUGGGACUGAGACACGGCCCAGACUCCUACGGGAGGCAGCAGUGGGGAAUAUUGCACAAUGGGGGAAACCCUGAUGCAGCCAUGCCGCGUGUGUGAAGAANGCCUUCGGGUUGUAAAGCACUUUCAGUUGUGAGGAAAAGUUGGUAGUUAAUACCUGCCAGCCGUGACGUUAACAACAGAAGAAGCACCGGCUAACUCCGUGCCAGCAGACCGCGGUAAUACGGAGGGUGCGAGCGUUAAUCGGAAUUACUGGGCGUAAAGCGCACGCAGGCGGUUUGUUAACCUAGAUGUGAAAGCCCCGGGCUCAACCUGGGAUGGUCAUUUAAAACUGGCAAACUAGAGUCUUGGAAAGGGGAGUGGAAUUCCAGGUGUAGCGGUGAAAUGCGAUAAAUAUCUGGAGGAACAUCAGUGGGGAAGGCGACUCCCUGGCCAAAGACUGACGCUCAUGUGCGAAAGUGUGGGUAGC